AGUGAACGCUGGCGGUAGGCCUAACACAUGCAAGUCGAACGGCAGCACAGUAAGAGCUUGCUCUUACGGGUGGCGAGUGGCGGACGGGUGAGGAAUACAUCGGAAUCUACUUUUUCGUGGGGGAUAACGUAGGGAAACUUACGCUAAUACCGCAUACGACCUACGGGUGAAAGCAGGGGAUCUUCGGACCUUGCGCGAUUGGAUGAGCCGAUGUCGGAUUAGCUAGUUGGCGGGGUAAGGGCCCACCAAGGCGACGACCCGUAGCUGGUCUGAGAGGAUGAUCAGCCACACUGGAACUGAGACACGGUCCAGACUCCUACGGGAGGCAGCAGUGGGGAAUAUUGGACAAUGGGCGCAAGCCUGAUCCAGCCAUACCGCGUGGGUGAAGAAGGCCUUCGGGUUGUAAAGCCCUUUUGUUGGGAAAGAAAAGCAGCAGGUUAAUACCCCGCUGUUCUGACGGUACCCAAAGAAUAAGCACCGGCUAACUUCGUG
rnacentral:rRNA from 1 species